rnacentral:rRNA from 1 species
ACCUGGCGGCGAGUGGCGAACGGGUGAGUAAUAUAUCGGAACGUACCCUGGAGUGGGGGAUAACGUAGCGAAAGUUACGCUAAUACCGCAUACGAUCUAAGGAUGAAAGUGGGGGAUCGCAAGACCUCAUGCUCCUGGAGCGGCCGAUAUCUGAUUAGCUAGUUGGUGGGGUAAAGGCCUACCAAGGCAUCGAUCAGUAGCUGGUCUGAGAGGACGACCAGCCACACUGGAACUGAGACACGGUCCAGACUCCUACGGGAGGCAGCAGUGGGGAAUUUUGGACAAUGGGCGAAAGCCUGAUCCAGCAAUGCCGCGUGAGUGAAGAAGGCCUUCGGGUUGUAAAGCUCUUUUGUCAGGGAAGAAACGGUGGGUUCUAAUACAGCCUGCUAAUGACGGUACCUGAAGAAUAAGCACCGGCUAACUACGUGCCAGCAGCCGCGGUAAUACGUAGGGUGCAAGCGUUAAUCGGAAUUACUGGGCGUAAAGCGUGCGCAGGCGGUUUUGUAAGUCUGUCGUGAAAUCCCCGGGCUCAACCUGGGAAUGGCGAUGGAGACUGCAAGGCUAGAGUUUGGCAGAGGGGGGUAGAAUUCCACGUGUAGCAGUGAAAUGCGUAGAUAUGUGGAGGA